GUAAUUGCAUUAUGAAGAACUUUCUCUAUUGAAGUACGAGGCAUCAUGAUAAUAUGAAUAGUGCCAUGAAACCAACGAUGGGGAUACAUAUUUUAACCCAAAAACUUUUAAUCUUGUUGUAUGCAACGAAACAACAUCGCAUGCGGGUAUAUGCGGCUCAAACAUUCCGCCGCAAAGACCCUGAUUGCCAUCGAGUGCAAUAGCUGUAAUCUUUUUGAACCACCCGGCACUCUUCCCAUGAGAUGACUGCGGGGCGAAUUUAACGGACUGAGAGCUUGUAGAUCACAUAGAGCAACUGGGAUAGUAUCUAUCCAAUUGUUGUGUGAAAGGUUAAGAAUAGUGUCUCCCCCAAAAGUUGGUGGUUUUGAUACUGCUUUAAUUCCCAAACAACCACGUUAAUUCCCUGUACUUUGAAUGUCCCUGUUUAGCAGUCUAGCCUACUUCGCUCUUAAAUUCAUAAGACUAGCAAUAACAUUAACCCGGGUAAGAAUUUAUGGUGGCUCUACAUCACAAGUUCUGACCCGGAUUAAAAUGUGUCCACUUGGGUCCGACAUUUUGGGGUCACAAAAAUCCAUCAGAUCGGAACUUAUUAAACUUCCUCUGGUUCCUUUAACCUCAUUAUUCCCUGCAUUUCACAACCUUGGAUAUGUUUCUUUUAAACAACCCCCUCAACAUUGUCCUUAGCUAAACAGUUGAUCGGACUUCCUACGACUCCUUCCAAAUUUUCUUCCAUUUUCACACUAAGACUGUCCAGGUUCUCGUAAGCAUGCAGAUCUACCUCUUAAGAUGCCAAUUCAAUCAUACUCAUAUGGUUACCCACAAUAUCCUCCUUUCCUUUCACUGCUACCGGGCGAGUAGAUGUUGUCUUCCUGAAGAUAGGAUAGUCACCUAAUUUUUUGCGCCAGCAAGUCGAGCCUGCAUCUUCUGUAUUAUGAAUUGGAGAGAAAAAGAUUUCAUCUUGUUGUUUUGAUUUCUUAACUUCCAAUCGGUUUACCUUGACUUUCAUGGUUUUCUGAUAUAUCUCCGAGGCAUCAAAAUCAAUGGAUUCCUGAGCUCUCGUCAAGUGGCCUCAUAUUCAUCCAAUUUCUUUAACCGUUUUUCUUCAUAACUUUUCCUAUAUUACGAUCUCGUGCAAG
rnacentral:lncRNA from 1 species